AUGAAAAUAUUGAGCUGGAACUGCUGGGGGUUAGGGAAACCCCCGGCAGUUAGAGCGCUCCUGGAGCUCCAGAGGCGCGUAAGACCGGAUGUGAUUUUUCUGUCUGAGUCACAUCUGACUGUUGCUAGGGCAGAGAAAAUGAAGAGAAAGUUGUCCUUUUAUGAGAUGAUAAUGUGGGAAUGUGAUGGCAGAAGUGGUGGUUUGGUACUCUUCUGGCAGAAGGGUUUAAAUGUGACAUCAAAGGAGGUUCACUCAAAUUUCUUGGAUAUCCUAAUUGACGAAAAUAGUGGCUCGGGUUGGCGGAUCACAGGUCUAUAUGGAGAACCAAGCGGUGACAAAAAGCAUUUGACUUGGGAGUAUCUUCGCUCCCUGAAAAAUAUGGUCGAUCUUCCUUGGAUCGUCCUUGGUGAUUUUAAUGAAAUCCUCUUGGGACGUGAGAAGGAAGGCGGGGCACUGAGGUCCCAAAGAAAUAUGCAGAAUUUUCGUGAUGCACUGGAUGAUUGUAACUUGUUUGAUAUGGGUCACAUCGGGGACAUCUUCACAUGGCGAAGGGGAAGGAUCCGGGAGAGGCUUGACCGGGCUGUAUGUGACCAAUGA
rnacentral:rRNA from 1 species